rnacentral:ribozyme from 1 species
GCUGCUCGUAAUAAUCACACACCUCUUCGUGGUGAGCAGCAGGCAACGGUCUUAUGGCUGGCCAAGUGUGAGA